UUCCAGGCAAGAAACUUUGAAAAAGGGUAUUCUUGCAACUACUGAACUGCAAGAUGAAAGGUUUUCACCUCAGGCCAAGUGCCUUAUGAACCCCAAAGGGCUGUUUUCUCCUAAGUAACGGCACAGCAAGGACUAUUGCUGUGCCCUACCCUUCAAUCUCCAUCUCUGCAGUCCUUGAUACACCACGGGACUAAAUGACCUGGGCAAGAAAAGGAACAAAGAGCAAAGCAGGCUCUAUAUAUGGUCACUGCUACAGACUUAAAUCCAGCUUUAAGACUGGGAAAAAUGGUAUACAACAGAGUGCAAAUAUGGAUCCCUCUCCUUAAGACAUCUGCUGUUCAGUGCAUCAUAGCUGUUGGAUGGAAAGGAUCCACAGUGGAAUGGAAGGAACACAGUUUUAUUCCCAGUGAUUUAAGAUUCUUGGGCACUUCUUGA
rnacentral:lncRNA from 1 species